rnacentral:rRNA from 1 species
UACAGAGGGGGCAAGCGUUGUUCGGAAUUACUGGGCGUAAAGGGCGCGUAGGCGGCCUGUUAAGUCGAACGUGAAAUCCCCGGGCUCAACCCGGGAACUGCGUCCGAUACUGGCAGGCUUGAAUCCGGGAGAGGGAUGCGGAAUUCCAGGUGUAGCGGUGAAAUGCGUAGAUAUCUGGAGGAACACCGGUGGCGAAGGCGGCAUCCUGGACCGGUAUUGACGCUGAGGCGCGAAAGCCAGGGGAGCAAACAGGAUU